GCCCAGGUGGCAUAAUGGUUAAGUGUUUGGCUGCUAACCAAAAGGUUGGUGGUUUGAACCCACCCAGCAGCU
rnacentral:tRNA from 1 species